CUCAGAGCGCAGCCUUACACAUCUCCUCUUGCGUGCAACUCACAGAGAGGGAGAGGCAGCGUGUCCUCCCCUCUCACAGCCGCCAGCAGCUCUAGCCACCCAGGACCUGGUUUUCGGACCUCCAGCACCCCCUCCCUCCUUCCCUGCCACUCCUUACCAGAGAGAGAGAGAGAGAGAGAUACAGACAGACAGACAGACAGAAAGAAAGAAGAAGGAGAGAGAAAGAUUCUGGAAUUUGAAUCUUCCCAAAGAGGAAACACCCAGAAAACUCAGUUGAUUAAACACCAAACUGACAGAUCCCCAACUCUUCUGUUCUUCUGGAGAGGUCUUUUUUCUGGAGUCCUGGGAGGUGGGAUAUAGGCAGGACUGCCUCUAGCUUGCACCAUGAAGCCGGAAUCUGCUUCUGCUCUGCCCUGGGCCCUGCUCUGCCUGUGUACUCAGCUGCUGGCUGCUCCUCUUCCCAGGGCCUGCUACUGCUAGGAGGUAGAAUCUCAGCACUGGUCCUUGGUCUGGGUCUACCUUUCACCUGGCUUCCUGCUUCCUCCCUCCACCCCAGCACCCCUGUCUCAGCCCUGUCCUUGGUUGGGACGUUUGAAGGUCUGCUGGGAGGAGCACAUCAGCUGAAGACUCGUUCCUGCCCUGGGCUCCUUCUCCUCCUUGAAUCAAGGCCUCCGGAUCCACAUGGAUAGCUGAGAUCUUUUCUUGGAGAAAGAUAUUUCCUGCUCAGUCCCUCACUUGCCCCACCUGACUCUCCCUAUUUCCUCUGCCUCUCUUUUGGAUUUCUUGCCUGUGUGCUCAUCUAGGGCUGUGCUAUUGUUUUCCUCCUUCUUCACCCUCCUAACAUUCCUGUUUGUCCCUCUCCCUUGUGUGUUCUCUGUCCCCACGCUGUCCUUCUUUCUCACUUCCACUGCCAAAGCUUUCCCUGAGGGCUGUUCCCUGGCCUGUGUGUUCCACUAGCUCUGGCCUGACAGCCACGAUGAGCUUUACCCUCCACUCGGCGUUCUUCACCUUGAAGGUGAGCAUCUUUCUGGGCUCCCUGGUGGGGCUCUGCCUGGGUCUGGAGUUCAUGGGCCUACCCAACCAGUGGGCCCGCUACCUCCGCUGGGAUGCAAGCACCCGCAGUGAUCUGAGCUUCCAGUUCAAGACCAACGUCUCCACCGGGCUGCUUCUGUACUUGGACGACGGUGGUGUCUGUGACUUCCUCUGCCUCUCCCUGGUGGAUGGCCGUGUUCAGCUUCGUUUCAGCAUGGACUGCGCCGAGACCGCUGUGUUGUCCAAUAAGCAGGUGAACGACAGCAGCUGGCACUUCCUCAUGGUGAGCCGUGACCGGCUGCGUACAGGGCUGGUGAUUGAUGGCGAGGGCCAGUCCGGGGAGCUCCAGCCUCAGCGGCCAUACAUGGAUGUAGUCAGUGACUUAUUCCUUGGUGGCGUCCCCGCUGACAUUCGAUCUUCUGCUCUGACCCUUGAUGGAGUACAGGCCAUGCCCGGUUUCAAGGGAUUAAUGCUGGAUCUCAAAUAUGGCAACUCGGAGCCUCGACUUCUGGGGAGCCAGGGCGUCCAAUUGGAAGCCGAGGGACCCUGUGGUGAACGCCCCUGUGAAAAUGGUGGGAUCUGCUUCCUCCUGGAUGGCCAUCCCACCUGCGACUGUUCCACCACUGGUUAUGGUGGCACUCUCUGCUCAGAAGAUGUCAGUCAAGGUCCAGGCCUCUCUCACCUCAUGAUGAGUGAACAAGGUAGAGGUAAAGCCCGAGAGGAGAAUGUGGCCACUUUCCGCGGCUCAGAAUACCUGUGCUAUGACCUGUCUCAGAACCCGAUCCAGAGCAGCAGCGAUGAAAUCACUCUCUCCUUUAAGACCUGGCAGCGCAAUGGACUCAUCCUACACACGGGCAAGUCAGCUGACUAUGUCAACCUGGCUCUGAAGGAUGGCGCGGUCUCCUUGGUCAUUAAUCUAGGGUCCGGGGCCUUCGAGGCCAUCGUGGAGCCAGUGAAUGGGAAAUUCAAUGACAACGCCUGGCAUGAUGUCAAAGUGACACGCAACCUUCGGCAGGUUACAAUCUCUGUGGAUGGCAUCCUUACCACAACGGGCUACACUCAAGAGGACUACACCAUGCUGGGCUCAGAUGACUUCUUCUAUGUCGGAGGAAGCCCAAGCACUGCAGAUUUGCCGGGCUCACCUGUGAGCAACAACUUCAUGGGCUGCCUUAAAGAGGUUGUUUAUAAGAAUAAUGACAUCCGUCUGGAGCUGUCUCGCCUGGCCCGGAUUGGUGACACCAAGAUGAAAAUCUAUGGUGAGGUUGUGUUCAAGUGUGAGAAUGUGGCCACACUGGAUCCCAUCAACUUUGAGACCCCAGAGGCUUACAUCAGCUUGCCCAAGUGGAACACCAAACGUAUGGGCUCCAUCUCCUUUGACUUUCGCACCACUGAGCCGAAUGGUUUGAUUCUCUUCACUCAUGGGAAGCCCCAGGAGAGGAAAGAUGCUCGGAGCCAAAAGAACACGAAAGUUGACUUCUUUGCUGUGGAACUUCUUGAUGGCAACCUGUAUUUGCUGCUUGACAUGGGCUCAGGCACCAUCAAAGUGAAAGCCACUCAGAAGAAAGCCAAUGAUGCGGAAUGGUACCACGUGGACAUUCAGCGUGAUGGCAGAUCGGGUACCAUUUCUGUGAACAGCAGGCGCACACCAUUCACCGCCAGUGGGGAGAGUGAGAUCUUAGACCUGGAGGGGGACAUGUACCUGGGCGGGCUGCCGGAGAACCGAGCUGGCCUCAUUCUCCCCACGGAACUCUGGACCGCCAUGCUCAAUUAUGGCUACGUGGGCUGCAUCCGUGACCUGUUCAUAGACGGUCGCAGCAAGAACAUUCGGCAGCUGGCGGAGAUGCAGAAUGCGGCAGGUGUCAAGUCCUCCUGUUCACGCAUGAGCGCCAAGCAGUGUGACAGCUAUCCCUGCAAAAACAACGCCGUGUGCAAGGAUGGCUGGAACCGGUUCAUCUGCGACUGCACUGGCACAGGUUACUGGGGAAGAACCUGUGAAAGAGAGGCAUCCAUCUUGAGCUACGAUGGCAGCAUGUACAUGAAGAUCAUCAUGCCCAUGGUGAUGCACACCGAGGCAGAGGACGUGUCCUUCCGCUUCAUGUCUCAGCGUGCCUAUGGGCUGCUGGUGGCUACUACCUCCAGGGACUCUGCCGACACACUACGUCUAGAGUUGGAUGGCGGUCGGGUCAAGCUCAUGGUUAACUUAGACUGUAUCAGGAUAAACUGUAACUCCAGCAAAGGACCUGAGACCCUGUAUGCGGGGCAGAAGCUGAAUGACAACGAGUGGCACACGGUCCGCGUGGUGCGGAGAGGAAAGAGCCUUAAACUAACUGUGGAUGACGAUGUGGCUGAGGGUACGAUGGUGGGGGACCAUACCCGCCUGGAGUUCCACAAUAUCGAAACUGGUAUCAUGACUGAGAAGCGCUACAUCUCUGUUGUCCCCUCCAGUUUCAUUGGUCACCUGCAGAGCCUCAUGUUUAAUGGCUUGCUCUACAUUGAUUUGUGCAAAAAUGGUGACAUUGACUACUGUGAGCUGAAGGCUCGUUUUGGACUGAGGAACAUCAUUGCUGACCCUGUCACAUUCAAGACCAAGAGCAGCUACCUGACCCUUGCCACCCUCCAGGCCUAUACCUCCAUGCAUCUCUUCUUCCAGUUCAAGACCACUUCAGCUGAUGGCUUCAUUCUCUUCAAUAGUGGGGAUGGCAAUGAUUUCAUUGCAGUUGAGCUCGUCAAGGGGUACAUACACUAUGUAUUUGACCUUGGAAAUGGUCCCAAUGUGAUCAAAGGCAACAGUGAUCGCCCCCUGAAUGACAACCAGUGGCACAAUGUCGUUAUCACUCGGGACAACAGUAACACCCACAGCCUGAAAGUGGAUACCAAAGUGGUCACUCAGGUCAUUAAUGGUGCCAAAAAUCUGGAUUUGAAAGGUGACCUCUACAUGGCUGGCCUGGCCCAAGGCAUGUAUAGCAACCUUCCAAAGCUUGUAGCUUCCCGAGAUGGCUUUCAGGGCUGUCUGGCCUCUGUGGACUUGAACGGACGCUUGCCUGACCUCAUCAAUGAUGCUCUCCAUCGGAGUGGGCAGAUUGAGCGUGGCUGUGAAGGACCCAGUACCACCUGUCAGGAGGAUUCCUGUGCCAACCAGGGCGUUUGCAUGCAGCAGUGGGAGGGCUUCACCUGUGACUGUUCUAUGACAUCAUAUUCUGGAAACCAGUGCAAUGACCCUGGCGCUACAUACAUCUUUGGGAAAAGUGGUGGCCUCAUCCUCUACACCUGGCCUGCCAAUGACAGACCCAGCACACGCUCAGACCGCCUUGCUGUGGGCUUCAGCACCACUGUAAAGGAUGGCAUCCUAGUACGCAUUGACAGUGCCCCAGGACUUGGCGACUUCCUCCAGCUUCACAUAGAACAGGGAAAAAUUGGAGUUGUCUUCAAUAUUGGCACAGUUGAUAUCUCCAUCAAAGAAGAGAGAACCCCUGUCAAUGACGGCAAAUACCAUGUGGUGCGCUUCACCAGGAAUGGGGGCAAUGCCACACUGCAGGUGGACAACUGGCCGGUGAAUGAGCAUUAUCCUACAGGCAACACUGAUAAUGAACGCUUCCAAAUGGUAAAACAGAAAAUCCCCUUCAAAUAUAACCGGCCCGUAGAAGAGUGGCUGCAAGAGAAAGGCCGGCAGUUAACCAUCUUCAACACCCAGGCGCAAAUAGCCAUCGGAGGAAAAGACAAAGGACGCCUCUUCCAAGGCCAACUCUCUGGGCUCUAUUAUGACGGUUUAAAAGUACUGAACAUGGCAGCCGAGAACAACCCUAAUAUUAAAAUCAAUGGAAGUGUCCGGCUAGUGGGAGAAGUCCCAUCAGUCUUGGGAACCACACAGACAACCUCCAUGCCACCUGAAAUGUCUACCACUGUCAUGGAAACCACUACCACAAUGGGUACUACAACCACCCGCAAGAACCGCUCUACAGCCAGCAUUCAGCCAACAUCAGAUGACCUUGUAUCAUCUGCUGAAUGUUCAAGUGAUGACGAAGACUUCGUUGAAUGUGAGCCGAGUACAGCCAGAAGCUCUAAUGCAGCUAGAUCACUCCGUGCCGCCCUUACAUGGACAUGGCGACUCACUUACACAUUCACCCCUAUCAUCUUCAUCUCCUGUGUAGUACACUCAUAGAUACGACCCUCCCCUGUUCCGCAUCUUCCCUUCCCAUACUUCCCCUUUCUUUAGUAUUGUUAAAAUAUAUGUGCUGUCAUCCAUUCCCUUAAAUUAAGGAAAAUCUAAAAUUUGUCAAAAAAGACAAAAAAGUACAUAUCUGAAAACUUACAAUGAAGAAAUUCAUUCAAAACCCUAUAGAUGCAUAGAUUUUUUAAAGGCAAAUUAUAAAAGUAAUUUUUUAAAUUUUCAGUUAUAGCAAUCAGAAUAUUUUAAAUUUAAAUAUCAAUGCCCUCCCAAACUCCCCAAAGUAAAAAAAAAAAUGUUAAAGUGCAGAUUUAUUUUUCUUUUCAUGUUCUGUGGUGUGGAUGUAUGUGUUGUUGCUUCCCUGUAUCAUCCUCUGUUGUAAAUUAUUAUAUUUGAAAAAUUAGACAUUUUGCUCAAAAGUUUUUAAGAAAUGACAACAACAAAAAAGCAAGUUACAAGAAUAUGACAAUUCUAUUUGUCCAAGAGCAUUCUUACACAACUUUCUUUUGUAAAUUUUUCUUUCAUGCCAAAAAACAUGCGGGCAAUUUGUUGAUGAGGUGAAUUAGUUAUCCCUCUUCUUGUAGAAGACCCUUUAGCUACCCCUGCUAUUGCUACUCGUGUACCCUCCAUUACACUCCCCCCUACCUUCCGCCCCCUCCUCACCAUUAUUGAGACCACCAAAGAUUCCCUGUCCAUGACCUCUGAGGCGGGGUUACCUUGCUUGUCGGACCAAGGCAGCGAAGGUUGUGAUGAUGAUGGCUUGGUGAUAUCUGGGUAUGGCUCAGGGGAAACCUUUGACUCUAACCUGCCCCCUACUGAUGAUGAAGAUUUUUACACCACCUUCUCCUUGGUAACAGAUAAGAGUCUUUCCACUUCAAUCUUCGAAGGUGGCUACAAAGCACAUGCGCCCAAGUGGGAAUCCAAGGACUUUAGACCUAACAAAGUCUCGGAAACUAGUAGGACUACUACCACAUCUUUGUCCCCUGAGCUGAUCCGCUUCACAGCUUCCUCCUCGUCUGGGAUGGUGCCCAAAUUGCCAGCUGGCAAAAUGAAUAACCGUGAUCUCAAACCCCAGCCUGAUAUAGUCUUGCUUCCGUUGCCCACUGCCUAUGAGCUAGACAGCACCAAACUGAAGAACCCACUAAUUACUUCCCCCAUGUUCCGUAAUGUGCCCACAGCAAACCCCACGGAGCCGGGAAUCAGACGGGUUCCGGGGGCCUCAGAGGUGAUCCGGGAGUCCAGCAGUACAACAGGGAUGGUCGUCGGCAUUGUGGCUGCUGCCGCCCUCUGCAUCUUGAUCCUCCUGUACGCCAUGUACAAGUACAGGAACAGGGACGAGGGGUCCUAUCAAGUGGACGAGACGCGGAACUACAUCAGCAACUCGGCCCAGAGCAAUGGCACGCUCAUGAAGGAGAAGCAAGCGAGCUCAAAGAGCGGCCACAAGAAACAGAAAAACAAGGACAAAGAAUAUUAUGUGUAAACAUAGUACUGAUCAGACGCGAAUUUAAAACAGAAUUAUUUAUAUACACAUACCUGAACUUUGGCAAUGAGAUUUAACAGAUGUCAGAAGUGUUCUAACUAUGAGAUGGGGUAUACCAUGACUAUGAUGGGGAAAACCAUUUUAAAAGGACACAUAUGAUGGUGUAUCUCCCUGUAAAUUUCAGCCAUGCUGCAAAGGUAGCAGUCAUGGCCAGAGACAGCAAGUUCUCUCUGCCCUGCUGUAUUAUAAAGCACACACUUAGCACCCUGGAGCAAGCCAAUGGCUCUGCCAAGUACAUGAACUUGGAAGUUUCUCGUAGUCUCCAGGGCCUUUUUUCAAAGGGUAGAGGACUCUGACUCAUUUGUUCCAUAAUUCCAAGUGAGUCUGUAAUGAUGUUUGUGAAGCUUGAUUGUAACAAUGUUGGUUUGUUUUUUGGUUUUUGGGUUUUUUUGGUUUAAUUAUGUAAAAAAUAAAAACAAACAAAAAAACUAGAAAAGAAAAAUGCUUUAAAAAACACAAAAACAAUACAAUACAAAACAAAAACAAAAAACCAGAAACACCCUUACCUGGUUCUGGCCAGCGUGUGUGUAACUUUUCAAGUUCUAAGGGGAACAUGGCUUUUGAGUUUUUGUUUAUUUUUUGACAAUGACUGAACAUAGGAAGAAGAGAGAAAAAACUCAGACAACAAAAUGUACGAGAGACUCUUGCCAUAUGAACUUCAAAGCUAGCAUGGCAUUCACUCCAUGAAUCAGGUUGUGGUGUCUCUAGAAUCUGUUGUUUGUUUCCUAACGCUUUGAUGAACCCAUGUGACAGUUGAUAAUAUUGAUUUGAAAAGCUAGUCCCCCAAGACAUAAUUCCAGUGUUUGCCACCCAAAACCUUGAACACAUUGGUUUUGGGCUGGUUUUAUCAGAGCUACUGGUUUUACUUAACAAAUAUUGUUUCUGUCCAUUAACCCAAAUUGUGUGAAAGGGGAAAGAUUAGCCCCACAAAUACAAACGGAACCUUUCCUAGGGAAAGGAAUGGGGGUGGGCUGGAUCUUCAAUUGAUUGAAAUGCAUGCAAACAAAAAAAGAAAAGACAAUACUAAUGUCUGUUAAAUAAUCAACACAGACAGUAGGGGAGUUCCCAACUUGUAAUGCAACCACAAAAGGUCACACAAGCCAAGUCAUGAAGCAAAUGUGAAAUACAUAGUUCUUUCCCCGCCCCCAACAUAAUGGUUUCCAUUUCCAUACUGGUUUAAUUUUGUAGCCUGAUGUGAAUAACUAACUUUUCAUCUUGUUGCCUCUUCCUUCACCCAUCUUUUUUAAAAACAAAUAAAUGAAUGAAUAAAGCUGCUGUGACACACACAAAAAGGAAUUUAAUAGUAUAAUAUAUAUAAAUAAAUAUAUAUACAGAUAUAUUUAUCAUGGUAUGUUUGAUGGGAUGACUGACACAGAACUCUGUUAAAGUCUCGAAGUGGAAUGAGAACGUUAUUUUAAAAGAAAAUAACAAAACAACAAAAAAGUAAACCUUAAAAUGUGAAGAAAGUGUGAGUUUUCAUUUUGUCACAGUUAACUGUGUCAAAGAGAAUUUAAACAACAACAAAAAACUUCUCAGAUUUUGUUUACAUAUUUUACUACAUUUUUGCUGGUAUAAUUCCUUAGUCACCUAUGUAUAUACUGCUUUAAAAACUGUUGUUUCCUUUCUAUUUGCUGAUUUAAGUUUGUUUGGUUUGUAUUCCAAAGUUGUCUUUUUGUCUUCUUU